ACCUGCGAGAGAGAUCGCUCGCGCCCUCGCUCGUCAGUCGUCACCCAGGGGCCGCCACCACCGCCACCAUGCCAUGGGCUUCCUCCGAUCUGCGCUCGCCGGUUCGUUCGAAGAAGGAUCUGGUCGUUGACUGCUGGUGAUUCCCCUCCCACCGGUGAUCAACCAUGACUUGGAAUAGUACUUCUAUCCAGCAAGCAUCGUUUUGGAUGUGAGCUCGAGCUCAAGCAACAAGCAGAGCAUCAAAAACAGGGGCUCUAUCUGCUAAUGGGGUAGCCGGCAAUGCAGUCUAAGAGCAACCACUAUUGUUCAGGAAUUUUGAGUGGCGCACAUCCUGGUAUGGUGAGAGGCAAGCCGACGACCGGACAUCAUUUGUCAAGGAAGCAAACAGAACGACUACACUCACAAGGAACCAUGAAGCCAACGAUCCACGUCAACUAGAUGUUUUAGCUUUCAUUUUGUACAACUGAUGUCUCAUACUUGCAUCUUUUGGCUGUCCUUUUGUAAACCUGAUGUAUGGUGUCUCAGUGGUUUUGUUUAGAACAAAUUGAAAUGUAUGUAUGUGCCAAUUACUUAAUGGAAUAAAAAAUGUUUGAUGGUCCCGAUGUGAGCC